GAGUCCGAAACACAUGAAUAAUGGGAGUUGUUAAUAGUAAGCAGGCUGCUGUAAAAUGUGCUGGGGCUUUGACUUAAGGGAAGAAAGCACAGCACUGUACUGUCUCUGAUCAGGAAGCUGGAACACAGAAGAAUCAGCAAAAUCCUUGCCCAAACCCUUAAAAAGAUGCAGAAGAUAUAAAGGAAAGAAGCAGAGCUCACUUCAGGUCAAAAAUGCUGAAGAUCRGAAACAUCCCAGGAUACUACUUCAGCCGAGUCUACAUCAUUGGACUAUUUUUACCUCCUCACUAAAGAUGGUCAGAAAUGAAGCAAAAUACAAGUAUGAGGAGAAGUUCUAAAGAUGAGAAGCAUAUAUGGCAGGUAUGCACCGGUACUACCUCC
rnacentral:lncRNA from 1 species